rnacentral:rRNA from 1 species
GAUGAACGCUAGCUACAGGCUUAACACAUGCAAGUCGAGGGGCAGCGCAGUGUAGCAAUACAUGGGCGGCGACCGGCGCACGGGUGCGUAACGCGUAUCCAACCUUCCCGUUACUCAGGGAUAGCCUUCCGAAAGGGAGAUUAAUACCUGAUGGUAUUCAAAUUUCGCAUGUUAUUUGAAUUAAAGAUUUAUCGGUAACGGAUGGGGAUGCGUGACAUUAGGUAGAUGGCGGAGUAACGGCCCACCAUGCCUACGAUGUCUAGGGGUUCUGAGAGGAAGGUCCCCCACACUGGAACUGAGACACGGUCCAGACUCCUACGGGAGGCAGCAGUGAGGAAUAUUGGUCAAUGGUCGGAAGACUGAACCAGCCAAGUAGCGUGGAGGAUGAAGGUUCUAUGGAUUGUAAACUUCUUUUAUACGGGAAUAAACCACUACGUGUAGGUGCUUGUAUGUACCGUAUGAAUAGCAUCGGCUAACUCCGUGCCAGCAGCCGC